rnacentral:SRP_RNA from 1 species
ACCAGGUGUGGUGAUGCACGCCUUUCGUCCCAGCUACUUGGGAGGCUGAGGCAGGAGGAUCGCUUGAGCCCUGGAGUUCAAGGCUGCGGUGAGCUAUGAUCACACCACUGCACUCCAGCCUGGGCAAUAGAGUGAGACCCUGCCUCAU